UACAGGGGGUGCAAACGUUGCUCGGAAUCAUUGGGCGUAAGGCGCACGUAGGCGGUUCGUUAUGUCGGAUGUGAAAGCCCUUGGCUUAACCGAGGAAGUGCAUCCGAAACUGGCGAGCUAGAGUACUAAAGAGGAUCGCGGAAUUCCCGGUGUAGAGGUGAAAUUCGUAGAUAUCGGGAGGAACACCGGUGGCGAAGGCGGCGAUCUGGGUAGAUACUGACGCUGAGGUGCGAAAGCGUGGGGAGCAAACAGG
rnacentral:rRNA from 1 species